CAGAGGUUGGCAAACUCUUUCUAUAAAGGUCCAGAGAGUAAAUUCGUUUGUUUUUGCAGGACAUGAGGUCUUUGUUGAAAUUUCUCAACACCAGUGCUGUAAAUUGAAGUCAGCUGCAGGAGACGUGUCUCUCCAUGGGUAUGGCUGCUGUCCUGUAAAACUCCACUUACAAAGUCCUGACCGCCAGGAACGUUGGUCAAAGAGCAGUGUAAUUUUGAUUAAAUACGUCUUCAGUGUUUGACUCACUGCAAAGCCUAGCCUCCCUAUCGAGAAGCAGUCGAGGUGCUGCGAUGUAGCUCCCAUGUUGAAAAACGAUCUCCGACCAGCUCUGAGACAAGGAACACCUCUGGUUUGGGGUCAGUUCUGUUCCUUCAUGGUGGUGAUCUGCUGAACUGGGCACUGUAAGCCCCAACUCCUCUUGUGAAUAAAUUCUGUUCAACUCCUUGUGAAUAAGGUUGACUGUAAAUGGAGUUUCUACAAGUUGCUUCCGUGAUUGGUGCAGACUGGCAAUGGACGAGAAUGCUGAAGGCAAUGGGGCUGUGUACACCCAUCAAAGCUGCAGGGCCUUUGCACUUCCCAGCCUAGAGG